AAAGCAGGGAUUGUGUGUAUCGGCGUAGUGCUAAUCUCAGUGCACUCUGUUCCGAAAGAGUUCCCUGCAACAUCCAAUCCUCAAGGGAAGGUGGGCAGUUGUGAUUCAUCUCCCAUUGAUUUCUCAACAAUCAUCUUCCCUACAUCA